UGGUGUAUGUGUGAUGGUGUAUGUGUGAUGGUGUAUGUGUGAUAGGGUUAGGAUUAGCCUAACUAGGGACAGGCACUGAAAAUUAGCCUUGGCUAAAAUGUCAUAGUGUGUGACAUGAUUUCAGGAAACAUACGUGUCCCUAUCAAAUAAACAAUAAACAAAUUAAAUAAAUAAAAAAAAACUUUGUUUAGAGAAACGUCUGGGUGGAGGAAGUUGUCACAGACAAACACAUAUAUGCCUCAGUUCAUGGUUACUGUUAAAUCCAGAAACAGAAGGGACAGGAAACAGAAAGUGAACACAGAACAGGAAGGAGCUUGGUUAUAAAUCUCCAGUUGUUUCAGUAUUAAUUCCUCUAAUAACCCAGAUUAUUGAAGGAGCUGAUAAUGAAUAAUAAUAGCUGCUCAUACUUUCUAUAAACAUAGUCCAUCUUCCUCCCUCUCUCCUUCCAAAGUGUCUCUCUGAAAUGACUAAUCAUAAAACAACCUUCAGCCCUGGGUUUACAGGCUCGAUCCAACACAGUUCUGUCUCCAGGAACCAAACUACAGAGAAAAAACCCUCCAGAGUCCAGCUCAGCUUCCUUCUUCGACUGAUUAAUCAGAACCAGUGAGAAAGCAGAAGAAGCUGAGAACCUGUUAACCAGGAGGAAGAGGAACUGAGAAGUUCAGGGAGGAGCUGAGAUGUUACUGAACUCUAGAAGAUACUCAAACUUCCUCAUUCAACACAGUUCAACACACAAACAUCUACUCUGCUCAACAUGGACUAUUAUGGACUUUCUCUGCUCAUCGCCUCACUUCUAACAGGUGUCAGAUGUGAUCAACUCACCCCAAUGAAAAAUCAAGAGUCCAGCUUAGAGAGGAGCUCUGUUACUCUGUCCUACAGUUUAUCCAGACAAGUACUGAGCAAUGAUUAUUUUUUCUGGUACCGUCAGUAUCCAGGAGAACCUCCAGAGUUGCUGAUCUCCCACUCUGCUUCAGGAGUUGAAGGAAUUAAAAAAGUUUCCAAACUGAAGAUUCAGGUGACCAAAACGCAGAUGGACCUGCUGAUCUCCUCUGCUGCAUUGACAGAUUCUGCUGUGUACUACUGUGCUGUGAAGCCCACAGUGACAGGAAACACCAGAACUCUGUACAAGAACCUGCAGUACUCCACAUCAUCCACUAGUGGACCUCACACUUCCAUGGUUGUCAGGAUUCAGUCUCAUUGUUCUUGUGGAGAUAAAACCUGAACAGAGAAAAGAAUCAUUUCAGAAACAACAGCUUGAUGAUGAUAUGGUGAAAUUAGAUAGAAUCUACUAAAAUCAGUUGAAAUGGACGUACUUGACUUGGAAUCUGUAUUAUUCGGUUGAAUUGACACUUUAUAAAUAAACUGAACUAAAAUUCA